rnacentral:sRNA from 1 species
GCUGGGCACAGUGGCUCAUGUCUGUAAUCCCAGGUGCUCGGGAGGCUGAGGUAGGAGGAUCACAAGUCCAAAGCCAGCCUCAGCAAGAGCUAGGUGCUAAGCCACUCAGUGAGACCCUGUCUCUA